UAACACGAACAGCAAAGCGGAAAGGAUACAAGUAAAAGUAAUAGUGCACAGUGCUACUUGCCCCAUCUUGAGUUGGUUGUGAGAGAGACUACUCACUCACUCACCACUCUACUCUGCAGACGGGACACUCCUGACAACUCGGGUGCCAAGACUCUCUUGGUCGCUGGUGAAAACAAUGCCAGAACUUCUGGCACUGUUUUCACCAGAAGGUAGCUAUAUAGUCGCGCCUUAUCUCUAUUGUGCCACUUAGCCUUACUUUUUUUUAUCCUUAUGAGCUUCUACCAGUUCUGGUAAAAGUCGUCCUGUCAUGUUCAGAAUUUUAUUUGGCUUAAAAGGUGUAUUUUAUUGUGAAAAGACCGAAAACUUGCAAUUUUUGGCACUCUGGUCAUUUCAAUUUCAAUGCCUAGUGGGGAAUAUGCAUUUCCCACUAGGCAUUAAUGAGUGUGCAUAAGUCUCAAGAAAAUCCCCAGGGCCUCUCAGAUACAACGGAAGUCGUCAGUCAUGCGGUGGUCCAGCGAUCAAGGUACUUGGUGUUGUUCGAGCAGCAUGUCGUGAACAUCAGCAAAGUGUUCUACAUGUUCACCAGUUACCCGUUCAGUCCAGAGGGUCACCGAGCUACCCUGGGCAGCUGGAGUAACAAGACCAUCACAUCGGUCGUGGACUUGUUUCCUGAUCGCUACCCAGACCUGCAGGGAGCGGUGUUGUAUCUCGCUUCCUGGUGUGAUGACUUCCCGAUCAUCUACGUGAGUGGUGAUGGCUGUAUCGGUUCCAGUCUGGACACUCUUUCUCUUAUCGCCCACAAACUCAACUUCACCUACGAGGUACAAAGAGAGACUCAAGACCAACACUGGGGCGCCUUGGAGAAUGGGAAUUGGACUGGUAUGUUGGGUGACCUUAAAUACAAUGGUAAGGACUUAGCCCUUAACUGGUUCCUUCUUAACCACAACCGCUGGAAGGCCUUCGACGCCCUCUACCCAUACUACGCUGAAGGUUUCGGGUUUCUGGCGCGUCUCCCGGAGCCAGCACCUCGGUGGAAGAACUUGACCUACUCCUUCACUACCAAUUUGUGGCUCAUCAUCGUCUGCUCCACCAUGGUCGUCUCGUGUAUGUUCUCUGCUUUGAUGCCGCGUCAUAUGACAGAGGGAACCGUCGACCAUAUCCAGCAAAUCAUCUUGGUAUGUGCGGGCGUGGUGAGACAGGUGGUUGAUCUGGGCGGUGACGGGAGAUGGGCGUGGCAGCGGGUGUGGCUGGGCUGGUGGUGGUUGGGCUGUAUCAUCCUAACCACCGCCUACACCUGUAACCUCAUCGCCUUCCUCACUGUCCCUGUCUACACCACCCGCAUUGAGACUGUCGCCCAUCUUGCUGCCUCAGACCUCAGGGUCAUAAUGCAGGAUUAUGGGAGCUUCUUGCCAGAGGCGCUGAAGGAGUCGUCGGAUCCCCACCUGUAUACGUUGGGUCACAAGUUGGAUUUAUACCCGUAUGAGGAAGCGUAUGACCCAGCUAUCUACGGCGUCUUGAACCGCACUCACGCCCUCACAGAGACCUACUCCUACCUCAUGAACCUCCAGAUCCAGUAUAAUGUUACCCAGGACACCUACCUCAUGAAGGAACAGGUCAGGUGUACCCGGGUCACAUGUCCUGGUUCAUGCCCAAGAACACCCCGUACUCAGCCAAGGUGUCCGCCCUCCUCACCAGACUCCGGGAAGCGGGGGUUAUUAACAAGUUCUUUCUCAUACACUUUGCCCGCGUGUCUGAGACCUUCAAGAACACCCAGAUGAGUAACACCUAAACCCUUGAGAAAUUAACAACUGGAUCAUGGAAACACUGCUGUUACAGGGGAGCGGCACACAGAGCAGAGCCGUCCAGGGGAGCGGCACACAGAGCAGAGCCGUCCAGGGGAGCGGCACACAGAGCAGAGCCGUCCAGGGGAGCGGCACACAGAGCAGAGCAGUCCAGGGCAGCAGCCAGCAAGCACAGGGCAGCAGCAAGCAAGUACAGGGUAGUGGCCAGUAAGCACAGUCUCGGGCAGCAUGGCACUCCAGUGUUCAGAACAACAUUUCUGUACAAAAUAAAAUGUAAAAUUAA
rnacentral:misc_RNA from 1 species